rnacentral:lncRNA from 1 species
AUUUCAAGGAUACUAUAAUAGAGAUCAUGGUAUAUAUUACUAUCAGACAGAAUAGAAACUAUGGAGUCACAUACAAUAGAUAUUUCUGACUGAUCAGAUGUUAAGUUAUGAUGAUGAAUCAUAAUAGAAUUUAAUUAUCAAUAUGAUUAAUGACUAAUUCAAUGCAAAAGUUAUAAUUGAAAGAUUCACUAAAUGUUAGUGAAUUGUAAGAAGGUCAAUUAACAAUUAGAUUGCUCUCUGGCUCAAUCUGAUUGAGCUAUGAGAUUCAAAUCAAAUAUAAUUGAAUUAGAUUUAAUUUAGAUUAAUUUGGAUUUGAUUAGAUCAAGCCUAAUUGAUCUAUGAGAUAAUCCAAUUGCAUAAGGAGAAUAAUUCCUAUUUUGACUAGGACUUGAUUGAAUCAAUUUUCUAAUUAGAUUAAAAUUUAAUCUAGAUUUAAUUGAGUUCCUAAUUGGACUAAGAAUUAAAUUAAUUUGGUUUCUAACUAAUUCUAAAUUGGUUAGGAUUAAAUCAGAUUUAAGUUAGAUUUAAAUCAGCAAACAAAUAAAUCUUAGUUGGACUAGGAUUUCUCUUUGACGCCACCUCUCUUUUUUGCACCACCUAAGCCCAACACCAAAUCUAAUUUGGCAUGUGGUUGGACUAGCCCAAGCAUCUCCAUGCUACCUCUCUUAUGUCUAUUUUUGGUUGAGAUCAAAUCUGAUUUGAUCUGAUUUUAAUUGGACCAAAACAGAACUCCCAAUUUGAUUGGUGGUGCGGACACCAGAGCCAUCAGAAGUUGGCGACAUGAUUUGGAUUCGAUUUGGAUUGAAGAAGUUCCAUUAGAUUGACUCUACUUUAGUUAUUUAUUUUCAGUCAAUAAAGUUAUCGUGAUGUAUUUAAUUUUGGUUCCAUAGGGCCAUACUUAGAUUUGUAUUGGGUUUAUCUAUGUCACCUUUGGAGCCACAACUCUCCACACGCCUAGAGAGAAAAUAUGCAUGCUAGCAUGUGCCAUGCCCAAGGAUCCUCAUGCCAAGUUAUGCCAAGCAUCAAGUGUCCACAUGAAGUUCUAUUUCUUUUUUAGGAUUCCUUACGAAUUCUUGACUACUUAUUUAUUUUGUUAAAGGAUUAAUUUCUUUCCCAUAGUAGAUUACUUUGUUUGAAAAUCAGACAUAAUGUUUUACUUUUUUGUGAGAAGAUUGAUUUCUUUCUUGUAAAAGAUAAAGGAUUCCUAAAAAAAUAGGACCCCUAGGGUCCUAUAUAAAUCUUUACAUUUUUCAUGAAGAGGACAAUGAAUGAUUUUACAAAUCUCAUAAAUACUUGUGUCAAUUGCUCCAAGAGGGAGAGGGUGUGAGAUCCAAAAUCACCCCACAAGGGGAAGGUGUGAGGCCCACUUUCUUUCCUACCCUUUUAAUCUUUAUCUUCUUGAGAUCCAGUAUUCCUAUGACCCCGAUUCAACUCCACCAUUUAUCCAUGCAAGCCUAUCCCAUCAAGAAAAGUUUUGUCUCCUCUAGGGUUUCCAUCUAUCAUGAUGAGUGAAAAAAGUGAUCCCUUAUUCUACAGAUGAUAUACUGUCAAGGACCUUCAUUCCUUC